AACGCACAUUGCGCCUCUCGGUAUUCCGGGAGGCACGCCUGUUCGAGCGCCAUUACACACUCCAAGCAGCAGCUUGAUGUUGGGCGACGUCCGCGAGGGCCCGAGUCUUUCUUUUCCCCGAGAGGGGGAGAGGCGGAGGCGAGAGGACGCGCCUGGAACGCGUGGGCGGCGGAGGCCAGACCGCGAGCGUAGCAAGACGACAAGUCAACCGCUCUGACGGCUCUGGUGGACGACCAGCCUUUCUUUGCAUUGCAGAAUGCAACAACCCCAACGAGUUUGGCCUCGGAUCAGGCGGGGAUACCCGCUGAACUUAA
rnacentral:misc_RNA from 1 species